AUUUCACGACAGCAGAGGUCAGUGUUGGUGAAGUAAAAAUUGAUUUCGACACAAAAAAGGACAAAGACGCUAAAACUAGUUUCCACAUCUCCAGCUGUGAAACUACAAGACGAAAAACUCACUUAUCUAAAUCAAGCGUGUUUUCAGAGUACUGUCUGUGCGUGUGGUGUUUCAUGACCGACGACUUCAGUAGCCUACACAGAGCACCAACAGCUGGAGGGAUGGAGAUGGAACCGACCAGGAGACAGAAUCUUGGAUUUAGGCGAGUCUUCUCUAUUUGAAAGUCUUAGGACUUUUAUCAUUAUAAAAUUAUCAAAAUAUGUACACUAUAAUACAAGUGUACAUUAAGAAAUUCCCAAAAUGUUUUACUAUGUCCAUAUGUCCCUCUGUCAGUUGGGAUCGUGGAUCCUCAAGCACAUCCAUUGCAGCUUAAUACCAUACAGUUCCUCAGGGAUCCUGACCAGAAUGCCUCUGUGUUUAUCCGGGUAUAUUUUUUAUAAAUUCAAUCGCUUUUAUGCUGAAUUUAUUAUCACAAGCAGUAACUUCUCUGUCUCUUCAUAUGGAGGUUAACUGCAUUAGCAUCGAAUUUACUCCUAGAAAACAUGGUGGAGAGAAGGGAGUCCCCUUUCGCAUUCAGAUAGACACCUUUGCAGCCAGCGAGCAGGGGGAAUAUGUUAAAUAUAUGCUCUCCGCCAGCUGCCAGGUCAACGUAUUUAAGGUAGAGCUGUCAGAAAGAUAACUUUUGAAUCUAAACUGUGUGAAUUGUGAUGGCUUUAGACUUUAAAAUAUGUAUAAAAAAAUUUGUAUAGACGCAUUUCUUCUUGUUGCACUAUUUUAUGUUUUGUCAUUUAGAAGACAUUUUGAUAAAUGAUGAUGAGCACACAGUUGACAGGAUCCAUUGACUUUUAUAGUAUUUGUUUAUCCUGCUAUGGAAGUUAGUGUUGAUUGUGUUCCUAUUAUCCUUUAUUUAAAUAUCUUCUUUUGUGUUUAACAGAAUAAAAAAACUCAUACAGUUUUUAAACGAUGCAAGUAAAUGAUGACAGAGUUUAUUUUUGGGUGAACAAUCCCUUUAGUGAUUGCUGUGGACAUUUGUAUUAAAUCCUUAGCUUCUAUGUUUGUGAAGUUUGUAUUUUUCUGUUGUAACUUUUUUUUUUAUAAAAAUAUUUUUUCAAAUAGCUUUUUUCAAAUGUAUACUACUAACA